UUAGUGUUCCAGACAGCAUGGAAACAGAGAGCACCUUAGAAUAAGCUCCAGAGAAGUCUAGAGAGGACUACGUUCAUUUAAAUAUGAAUGUUUAUUGUAAAGAAACUAAAAGGACUACAAGUGAAAAGAAGGUGAGCAGCCUGCGAGAUGGAUGUUUCUACAUUGGAGUCCAUGGGAAUCGACUCACUUUUGGAGCCAGCCUCUAGUGGCCACUCAGCGAACUGCAGCUUUGGGCGCUGAUGCAUCGGCUUCAUUCUUCUCCUUCAACGUUUGCUGCUUUGGACUCUGAUCUCUUUCACGUGGACCUCACCUGUUCAGCCUCAGCAUCCUUCUCCUCAGCCUGUCCAUCCCAGAUUCUGGACUCUCACACACGAAACGCCUCAAACUGUGACAACAUGUCCCUGAGGCGGUGUCCCACGAUGGGUCUGUCUCCUGUGGGGUCUUGGUGAAAAGGCGAGCACACCAGGAGAUGCAUUAUGCAGAUGUUCUGGUUUUUACCAGUGGUCAUGGUCAAAAUGGAAGAGACAAAGUGUCCCCAUAGUGGCUCAACUCAACUCUUUAACCCUGUUGUGCUUCCCUGUCUUCUUCUGUGUCCUUCAGUGGGUUGAUUUUUUGAGGCUGAUGUCCAGCUAGCGUCUGUUUUUCCUUCUGAUUGCCCGUUCUGCUUUCCUCUGAUUUCCUACAGUAAAAAAAAAAUGUUCAUCUUGGCUCAAAACCCCCGCACAAGCCUCUGUCACUGUCCACACAGCGGCCCAGUCACGUACGAGGAGAGAGGCGUGACCGAACACAAACCUCCACACUCGACAUCAACGCUGAACUCCUCACCCACAAACUCUCACGGAUCCACAUAAAAACCAGAGGCCAGUCCUCCAACGCUGUGCGACUUCAACCUUGUGCUGACUUUCUCAGAUAGCUCUAUCAAAGCGGGCAGACACGAGAGUCAGAGCUUUCAAACGGCCUGUUCAGAAAAAAAAAAGGAACUGGAGCUUUUUCAGUGUGGAAAUAAUGCUUUGUGGUCACGGGGUCUUAGUGGGUCUUGGUCCACUGUGGAUCAUGGAAAUGUGUCUGAGCAAAAGCUGCUGCUGUUUCAGUUUAUUCAAAGUGUUUUUUAUUGUCCAGGGGUUCCCAAAGUGUGGGUCAAGACCCCCUGGGGGGUCAUGAGAUGUCUUCCAG